GUUCUAGUUAAGUUAAUCCUUUAAUCCCAUAUAGUCAUACAUAAACAAUGCUGCCCUUGUGGAUAGCACAACAAGGCAACACUACUCAAAUAUGCCAUAAGUAUCAAUUUGGACUUAGUCAACAUCAUAUCAAUUUCUAUAGUAAGCCUUGUGGAUAGCACAACAAGCUCACUAAGAUCUUGACAUACUCUAUUGACCA
rnacentral:lncRNA from 1 species